GCAGUGGUGGUUCAGUGGUAGAAUUCUCACCUUCAUGCAGGAGACCUGGGUUUGAUUCCUGACCAUUGCA
rnacentral:tRNA from 1 species